rnacentral:sRNA from 1 species
GCAGGCAGCCGAUGUGGACAAGACCGUGGCUGGGCAGGACGCUGUCAUCGUGCUGCUGGGCACCCGCAAUGACCUCAGUACUGAGCCCCCCCUCUGCCCACGGCCCUCCCCUACACCUCGGCCCCCAGCGCCACCCCCGCCCCCGGCCCCGCCCCUGCCACCCCUGCCGCCGCCGCCGCCCACCAGUGAUAGCCACUCUCUGUCCCCUCUAAGGUCCCACGACAGUGAUGUCCGAGGGCGCCCGGAACAUUGUGGCAGCCAUGAAGGCUCAUGGUGUGGACAAGGUCGUGGCCUGCACCUCGGCUUUCCUGCUCUGGGACCCUACCAAGGUGCCCCCACGACUGCAGGCUGUGACUGAUGACCACAUCCGGAUGCACAAGGUGCUGCAGGAAUCAGGCCUGAAGUACGUGGCUGUGAUGCCGCCACACAUAGGAGACCAGCCGCUAACUGGGGCGUACACAGUGACCCUGGAUGGACGAGGGCCCUCAAGGGUCAUCUCCAAACAUGACCUGGGCCAUUUCAUGCUGCGCUGCCUCACCACCGAUGAGUACGACGGACACAGCACCUACCCCUCCCACCAGUACCAGUAGCACUCUGUCCCCAUCUGGGAGGGUGGCAUUCUGGGACAUGAGGAGCAAAGGAAGGGGGCAAUAAAUGUUGAGCCGAGAGCUUCAAA